UUGAAAGGGAAACGAUUGAAGUCAGUCGUACCGACGAGAAAUCAGCUUAUCGUGUGUGAACUUGUGGGCGUGCGUGAGUUUCGGCCUCGCUGUUUGCAUGUUUGUGCGCUUUGGGUGUACUUUUUCGUAUGGUUGGCCAACGUCAGUUUCGAUUACUAUAAAAUGACCGGCGGAAUGUAGCUUCGAUUUCGGUUGGAGUGUUAUAGCCUCUGGUAGAUGUGGUGAUUGGGACUGAGGAUUGCAACGAAUUCCUUUGGGCUAUCCGUCUGAUCUCUGAAAGUUGCUCAGGUGCCGAAAGCGUGCUUACGGUCAUCUAAGUUGACGGUCAA
rnacentral:rRNA from 1 species